AGGGAAGUGGUUGCCGGUAUUCCCUUCGCCUUAGUAUCAACAGAACACCCAAUAUUUUGCAUCUUUUUCACCAGCGAUUCCUCUUGGCUAGCCCAAAGAUUGGAUCAGAGGUAAAUAAAGAGCCCAGGGCGGAUGGGUCGAAGUUGCAGCUGAAAUUCAUGAAGGGAAUAAAUCGACAUCAACGCCUGGCAAGCCUGUAUUGGAGCAAAAUCGAAAUCGGAAAAUCACCCCGAAGGCCCAACUACCUGCCUUUAUCCUAACACACUUACUGCAGUACAAUGAAUGGGCAAGAGGGGGAGACAAAACUAAGUUACACUAACA
rnacentral:lncRNA from 1 species